GACGAACGCUGGCGGCGUGCUUAACACAUGCAAGUCGAACGGAAAGGCCCUGCUUUUGUGGGGUGCUCGAGUGGCGAACGGGUGAGUAACACGUGAGUAACCUGCCCUUGACUUUGGGAUAGCUUCAGGAAACUGGGGCUAAUACCGGAUAGGAGCUCCUGCUGCAUGGUGGGGGUUGGAAAGUUUCGGCGGUUGGGGAUGGACUCGCGGCUUAUCAGCUUGUUGGCGGGGUAGUGGCUUACCAAGGCUUUGACGGGUAGCCGGCCUGAGAGGGUGACCGGCCACAUUGGGACUGAGAUACGGCCCAGACUCCUACGGGAGGCAGCAGUGGGGAAUAUUGCACAAUGGGCGGAAGCCUGAUGCAGCAACGCCGCGUGCGGGAUGACGGCCUUCGGGUUGUAAACCGCUUUCGCCUGUGACGAAGCGUGAGUGACGGUAAUGGGUAAAGAAGCACCGGCUAACUACGUG
rnacentral:rRNA from 1 species